UUGGCUGUAGUCUUUUUUCCAGAACAAGAGCAUCAGAAUUGCCGGCAGGUUUGCUGAAGCCGCAACCGCAAAUGCCAUCCUACAAGAAAUGCUACAUUUACGCCUUGAACAUAAUACCAAGACCAAUGGCAAUAAGACCAGUAACAAUAGCAGCUACUUUACCGGCUCUAACUUUACCUUUGUCGCUAAAGUUAACACCA
rnacentral:rRNA from 1 species